rnacentral:lncRNA from 1 species
GUGAAGGUUGCCCUAGGAUGUCUAAGAACAUGGCUAAACAAGCCAUGGGGAGGAAGCCACUGAGCAACGGUCCUUCAGAGCCAUUGCUCUGUUCCUGCCUCCAGGUUCCUGCUCUGGCUUCUUCCUUCAGUGAUGCCCCGUGAACUGUAAGAUGAAACGAACCCUUUCCUUCCCUGAUUGCGGUUGAUCAUCGUGUUCUUUGCAGCAACAGAAGGCAAAUGAGGACACGGACCAUUAGGUCUAACUAGCCCCUCCUACGUGUAUUCGGAGGCCCGACCCCUAGACAAUUCCAGUACCCAUCACAUUGGUGACACUGGCCACCAUGGCUAGGCAUGACAGGGAAGCUUCAGGACUCCCCUUUGCCAGGGUGUUCUGAGUCUGGAACAAGCUUCUCCUUAACUCAAAGGGAGUUCACGCUGCUGAGUUAGCCUGGAGACAUUUGGGGUCUGUGGACAGUGAAGAUGGAUGGUGUCUACAGGAUGGUGGUGGUGGUGGUGACAGCAACUGACAUGAGCUGGGUGUGGGACUCAGGCAUUACUUGGAUCAGCUCAUUCAGAUCACCACAGCUCUAGCAAGACAGUGGCAACAUUGCCCUCUUCUUUAGAUGGGAGACUGUGUUGCUAAAACUCUCAUCAGACUGUUGAUGGUAGCAUCCGGCUUUGCUCACCUCUGCAAGUGACCAUGACCAGGGGAUGAGAUCUCUCUACUGACAAGCAAGCAAGUCACGGGCACUUGUGGCAUACAAUAUGGCCCCUGUUCUUCUGUUACUCUUCUUAUUAGAUAAAAAGUGUGAAUGUUUGUGUGUACAUGUUCAUAUGCAUGUGUGUGAGCAUGUAUGUAUGUGUGAGCAUGUAUGUGUGUGUGAGCAUGCAUGUAUGUGUGAGCAUGUAUGUGUGUGUGAGUGUGUGUUACUCUUCUUAUUAAAAUAAGAAUGUAAAUAAAAUGUGUGUACAUGUUCAUAUGUAUGUGUUGUGAGCAUGAGCAUGUGUGUGUGUGUGUGUGUGUGUGUGAGAGAGAGAGAGAGAGAGAGAGAGAGAGAGAGAGAGAGAGAGAGAGCAUUUGUACAGGUGAAAUGUCAAGUGUCUUCCUUGAUCUCCUCCCAUCUUGUUUUUUGAGAUGAAAUCUCUCACUGACCUGGAGCUCCUAGACUGUGUAGACUGACAAACCAACGAUGCUCACGCCAUUGCCUCCUUAGCAGGGAAUCAUGGAUGUGCAAGACCACACAUGUCCUUUUUCAUGGAUUCUGGGGACUCAGUCCCAGGUUCUAUAUUUGUGCAGCAAACAUUUUAUCAGCUAUGCCAUCUCCCCGGACUUCGUUGUCAUUUAUUGUAAUGAGUGAUGUGAGCUAAUGGUGUGCCCUGAUUCAGAUCUCCCGGGUUAACGUGUAACGUGGACCACUGUUCAAGGCAUAUGGGGCAGAAGUUCUGAUCCAUUUUAGGUUUUCCAGAGUGGCAGGAGAGUUAGGUAAAAGGGUCAGCAAUGACAAAUGUAGAGUGCCAAGUGCUUCAUCUACAUGCAGACAAAGAUAUCUGUUCCCCCAAGACACCUGGGUGUCACUGAGAAAAUAUCCACAAGGCAAAACAAUGCCACGUGGGCAAACUUACCUACCUUCAGCCUUGCUAUUGGAGCCAUUCACUGGCUGCUCACCAGAAACACAGGAACGGAGUUCUUACCCUGUGGGGUACUGGGACCAGGGAUAAGAUUCCUUUUAUUUGUCUGGACAUGAAUUUAAGCUACAGAACCUCACAACCCAUUACACAUUGAAGAACUCACUAUAUCCAGCCACCAGCCAUCUAUCAGGUGACCACUGAGAGGUUCCAGGACCCAAGAAAACCACGAGUGUGUGAGCCUCCUCCCUCCACAGUGUCGGAGCCUCCCCCUAUGUCCUAUGCUCCCGCUGGAUACAUCAGCACAUGCCCCACCCUGGGGCCUGGCCCACCCUUUGGCCACCGUGAGGGCACAAAUGAGACUUGGAGUCAUUCCAGCACCUCUGCUCUGGAGCGGCCGUGGAAGGAGGAGGUUUGUUGUUGAUGAAUCAAUAGUAGUGAGUGACUCUCAUUCCACGGCAGGAAUUCCAGGGAUACAAACACACAUCUCAGAUUAAAGAACAUGUGCUAGAGCAUGAAGUAGCUUAUCACAACCAUUUACCGUCUCCAGCGCAGACAGAAUGACAGGAGAGACUAGGCAGAGGUCACAGGGGGUACAUUUCGCCAUCAAAAGCCGUAUCGACUGGAGUCCAUUAUGACAACCUCCGAGUGAAAAGGUGGACAGGCUCCGGAGCAUUAGUGAGCUUCCCAAAUACAAGAAAAUUGAUCCGUGACAAAUUAAUCCUGGCAGCUUUCAUUUUCGAUUUCCUUUCUGAUUAUACGGAACCAUUAAAAUGAACCCAAAUAGAAAGGAAUGAGAUGGGACAUCG